AGUGAACGCUGGCGGUAGGCCUAACACAUGCAAGUCGAACGGCAGCACAGUAAGAGCUUGCUCUUACGGGUGGCGAGUGGCGGACGGGUGAGGAAUACAUCGGCAUCUACUUUUUCGUGGGGGAUAACGUAGGGAAACUUACGCUAAUACCGCAUACGACCUACGGGUGAAAGCAGGGGAUCUUCGGACCUUGCGCGAUUGAAUGAGCCGAUGUCGGAUUAGCUAGUUGGCGGGGUAAAGGCCCACCAAGGCGACGAUCCGUAGCUGGUCUGAGAGGAUGAUCAGCCACACUGGAACUGAGACACGGUCCAGACUCCUACGGGAGGCAGCAGUGGGGAAUAUUGGACAAUGGGGGCAAGCCUGAUCCAGCCAUACCGCGUGGGUGAAGAAGGCCUUCGGGUUGUAAAGCCCUUUUGUUGGGAAAGAAAAGCAGCAGGUUAAUACCCCGCUGUUCUGACGGUACCCAAAGAAGAAGCACCGGCUAACUACGUG
rnacentral:rRNA from 1 species